rnacentral:rRNA from 1 species
CCUACGGGUGGCUGCAGUGGGGAAUAUUGGACAAUGGGGGGAACCCUGAUCCAGCCAUGCCGCGUGUGUGAAGAAGGCCCUCGGGUUGUAAAGCACUUUCAGUGAGGAAGAACGCCUGGUGGUUAAUACCCAUCAGGAAAGACAUCACUCACAGAAGAAGCACCGGCUAACUCCGUGCCAGCAGCCGCGGUAAUACGGAGGGUGCGAGCGUUAAUCGGAAUUACUGGGCGUAAAGCGCGCGUAGGUGGCUUGAUAAGCCGGUUGUGAAAGCCCCGGGCGCAACCUGGGAACGGCAUCCGGAACUGUCAAGCUAGAGUGCAGGAGAGGAAGGUAGAAUUCCCGGUGUAGCGGUGAAAUGCGUAGAGAUCGGGAGGAAUACCAGUGGCGAAGGCGGCCUUCUGGACUGACACUGACACUGAGGUGCGAAAGCGUGGGUAGCAAACAGGAUUAGAUACCCGGGUAGUC